rnacentral:lncRNA from 13 species
UAACAAACUAUAGCUUUGGCCAAUCGUUUAGGACAUCGACUUUGUGCACGACACAAGUCAUUUUCAUACAAUUGUUUAGACAGAUUAUUUCACUUAUAAUUCACUGUUUCACAAUUCCAGUGGUCAGAAGUUUACAUACACUAAGUUGACUGUGCCUUUAAUCAGUGUCACGUUCUGACCUUUAUUUCCUUUGUUUUGUAUUUAUUUAGUAUGGUCAGGGUGUGAGUUGGGUGGGCAGUCUAUGUUGUUUUUCUAUGAUUUGGGUAUUUCUAUGUUUCGGCCUAGUAUGGUUCUCAAUCAGAGGCAGGUGUCAUUAGUUGUCUCUGAUUGAGAAUCAUACUUAGGUAGCCUGGGUUUCACUGUGUGUUUGUGGGUGAUUGUUACCGUGUCUGUGUUUUUAACCACACGGUACUGUUUUGGGUUUUCACGUUUCUUGUUUUUGGUAUUCAGUUGUUCAUGUAUACAUUUACGUAUUAAAAGAACUAUGGACACCUACCACGCCGCAUAUUGGUCCUCUGAUCCUUUUCGCCUCUCCUCUUCGGAAGAAGAGGAGGAAAUCCCUUACAAUCAGCUUGGAAAAUUCCAGAAAAUAAUGUCAUGGCUUUAGAAGCUUCUGAUAGGCUAAUUGACAUCAUUUGAGGCAAUUGGAUGUGUACCUGUGGAUGUAUUUCAAGGCCUACCUUCAUACUCAGUGGCUCUUUGCUUGACAUCAUGGGAAAAUCAAAACAAAUCAGCCAAGACCUCAGAAUUUUUUUUUUAGAUUCUGGUUCAUCCUUGGGAGCAACUUCCAAACGCCUGAAGGUACCACGUUAACAAUAGUACGCAAGUAUAAACACCAUGGGACCACGCAGCCGUCAUACCGCUUAGGAAGGAGACAUAUUCUGUCUCCUAGAGAUGAACGUACUUUGGUGCAAAUAAAUCCCAGAACAACAGCAAAGGACCUUGUGAAGAUGCUGGAUGUAGAUACAAAAGUAUCGAUAUCUGUCAUGUACUGUCAUGUUGUGUCUUGUCUCUGUCCUUUCCCUUCACCCUGUCUCCCUCUGCUGGUCGUUGUUAGGUUACCUUUUCUCCCCCUCUUUCCCCCAGCUGUGCCUUGUCUCCUCCUAACCACCUCGUCACCCCUUUUCCCACCUGUUCCCUUUUUCCCUCUGAUUAGGUCCCUAUAUCUCUCUCUGUUUCUGCUCCUGUCCUUGUCGGAUUCUUGUUUGUUGUGUCUUGUCUCUGUCCUUUCCCUUCACCCUGUCUCCCUCUGCUGGUCGUUGUUAGGUUACCUUUUCUCCCCCUCUUUCCCCCAGCUGUGCCUUGUCUCCUCCUAACCACCUCGUCACCCCUUUUCCCACCUGUUCCCUUUUUCCCUCUGAUUAGGUCCCUAUAUCUCUCUCUGUUUCUGCUCCUGUCCUUGUCGGAUUCUUGUUUGUUGUGUUUCAUGCCUGAACCAGACUGUCGUCAUGUUUGCUGUAAUCUUGUCUUGUCCUGUCGGAAUCUGCCGGCCCGUCUGAGCCUACCUAUGUUUGGUAAUUAAAGAAGCUCUGUUUAAGUUAAUUCGCUUUUGGGUCCUCAUUCACGCACCGUAACAGAUAUCCACAGUAAAAAAGAGUACUAUAUCAACAUAACCUGAAUGGCCGCUCAGCAAGGAAGAAGCCACUGCUCCAAAACCGCCAGAAAAAAGCCAGACUACGGUUUGCAACUGCACAUGGAUCAUACUUUUUGGAGAAAUGUCCUCUGGUCUGAUGAAACAAAAAUAGAACUGUUUGGCCAUAAUGACCAUUGUUAUGUUUGGAGGAAAAGGGGGAGGCUUGCAAGCUGAAGAACACCAUCCCAACUGUGAAGCACGGGGGUGGAUGCAUCAUGUUGUGGGGGUGCUUUGCUGCAGGAGGGACUGAUGCACUUCACAAACUAGAUGGCAUCAUGAGGAUUGAAAAUUAUGUGGAUAUAUUGAAGCAAUAUCUCAAGACGUUAAAGCUUGGUCGCAAAUGGGUCUUCCAAAUGGACAAUGACCCCAAGCAUACUUCCAAAGUUGUGGCAAAAUGGCUUGAGGAGAACAAAGUCAAGGUAUUGGAGAGACCAUCACAAAGCCCUGACCUCAAUCUUAUAGAAAAUUUGUUGGCAGAAUUGAAAAAGCGUGUGUGAGCAAGGAGACUACAAACCUGACUCAGUUACACCAGCUCUGUCAGGAGGAAUGAGAAAUAAUUCUCUCUACUAUUAUUCUGACAUUUCACAUUCUUAAAAUAAAGUGGUGAUCCUAAUUGAUCUAAGACUGGAUAUUUUUACUAGGUUUAAAUGUCAGGAAUUGUGAAAAACUGAGUUUAAAUGUAUUUGGCGAAAGUGUAUGAACUUCUGACUUCAACUGUACCUAUUAUUUGUUAGAAGCUAGGCUA